rnacentral:rRNA from 1 species
GUGUCAGCAGCCGCGGUAAUACCAGCACCCCGAGUGGUCGGGAUGAUUAUUGGGCCUAAAGCAUCCGUAGCCGGUGUAACAAGUCCUCCGUUAAAUCCACCUGCUUAGCAGGUGGGCUGCGGAGGAUACUGUUACACUAGGAGGCGGGAGAGGCGAGGGGUAUUCCACGGGUAGGGGUAAAAUCCUCUGAUCCGUGGACGACCACCAGUGGCGAAGGCGCUUCGCCAGAACGCGCUCGACGGUGAGGGAUGAAAGCUGGGGGAGCAAACCGGAUUAGAUACCCGGGUAGUCCCAGCCGGAAACGAUGUAGGCUCGGUGAUGGACUGGCUCCGAGCCAGUCCAGUGCCGCAGGGAAGCCGUUAAGCCUACCGCCUGGGGAGUACGGCCGCAAGGCUGAAACUCAAAUGAAUUGACGGGG